rfam:Chlorocebus sabaeus isolate 1994-021 chromosome X, whole genome shotgun sequence.
GCCAGGCUUGGUGGUGGGCGCCUGUAAUCCCAGCUACUCGGAGGCUGAGGCAGGAGAAUUGCUUGAACCUGGGAGAUGCAAGUUGCAGUGAGAUCGUGCCACUGCACUCCAGCCUGGGUGACAGAGCAAGACNNNNNNNNNNGUCUUGCUCUGUCACCCAGGCUGGAGUGCAGUGGCACGAUCUCACUGCAACUUGCGCCUCCCGGGUUCAAGCAAUUCUCCUGCCUCAG